rnacentral:rRNA from 1 species
GACGAACGCUGGCGGCGUGCUUAACACAUGCAAGUCGAACGGAAAGGCCCCCAUCUUGGUGGGGGUGCUCGAGUGGCGAACGGGUGAGUAACACGUGGGUGAUCUGCCCUGUACUUCGGGAUAAGCUUGGGAAACUGGGUCUAAUACCGGAUAGGACCAUGGUUUAGUGUCUCAUGGUGGAAAGAUUAUUGUUUUGGUGCAGGAUGAGCUCGCGGCCUAUCAGCUUGUUGGUGGGGUAAUGGCCUACCAAGGCGUCGACGGGUAGCCGGCCUGAGAGGGUGGGCGGCCACAUUGGGACUGAGAUACGGCCCAGACUCCUACGGGAGGCAGCAGUGGGGAAUAUUGCACAAUGGGCGCAAGCCUGAUGCAGCGACGCCGCGUGGGGGAUGACGGCCUUCGGGUUGUAAACUCCUUUCGUUAGGGACGAAGCCGCACUUUUUUUGGGUGUGGUGACGGUACCUUUGUUAAGAAGCACCGGCUAACUACGUG